GACGAACGCUGGCGGCGUGGUUAACACAUGCAAGUCGAACGGUAAGGCCCUUCGGGGUACACGAGUGGCGAACGGGUGAGUAACACGUGGGUGAUCUGCCCUGCACUUCGGGAUAAGCCUGGGAAACUGGGUCUAAUACCGGAUAGGACCACUGCCUGCAUGGGUGGUGGUGGAAAGCUUUUGCGGUGUGGGAUGGGCCCGCGGCCUAUCAGCUUGUUGGUGGGGUGAUGGCCUACCAAGGCGACGACGGGUAGCCGGCCUGAGAGGGUGACCGGCCACACUGGGACUGUGAUACGGCCCAGACUCCUACGGGAGGCAGCAGUGGGGAAUAUUGCACAAUGGGCGCAAGCCUGAUGCAGCGACGCCGCGUGAGGGAUGACGGCCUCCGGGUUGUAAACCUCUUUCAGCACCGACGAAGCGCAAGUGACGGUAGGUGCAGAAGAAGGACCGGCCAACUACGUGCCAGCCGCCGCUGUAA
rnacentral:rRNA from 1 species